AGCCUCCUUGUGUUUGCCACAGGCUGUGUUCUUCCAGGGACUGUAUAGAAAAAAGGAGGCAGAAUAAACCUACCACAUGUACAACUCAGCCUAGGCCAUUGUGCAUGGUCUGAACUGUGAAUGGAAAGAAUG